AGUAAAUCAGGUUCCCAGCCCUCUUCUUCUCCUUCAAUCGUGUCACCAUGGAAAUGGAGGUCAACCAUCAAAUUCUCCAUGUGUCUCUACAACAAUCAAUUACCUUGCUAAAUCAUCAAACCUACUUGUAAACCGGUCAAUCUAAAACUAGAGUAGCCUCUCUUAAUCAGCAAUUUCCAUUCUCCAUUUCUUCCAUUUGUCAACACAAUUAAGCUGAGUUGGUGAAACCAGAGAACACCAUAGCCCCUAUAAAUAGAGGCCCAUUCAUCACAAAAGAGAUACAAAAUCAGAUUACCUUCAAAUCCAAUUAAAAUUAUAAGUUCUUAAUCUUGUUCGAACAACCGAGACCAUCGUCGGAAACCACCGCGAGCGACCAUCACCUGCAUUGCCUCCGGCAUUCUGCUACCACCCACCUUCGCCUAGUAAGCCGGCCACCUCGUGUGUGCGGGUCCUGACCAGAAGCCAUACACCCAGCUAGCAGCCGAUCUUUUCUGUGUUCUUCGGCUCCUCCAUUCUUCGGUUUUGCAAACAAUCUCGACCCUCGGAGCUCAGGAAGGACGGUAAUCAAGGUUAGAGAAAAAGCCUAGUCAAUCACGAAUUUGAGGUGCCGACCGGGACGGCGGAUGCGAUUAGUGGCAAGGAUUUCGUCUUAUUAAAGCUCACCUAGUUUAAGCUUAAUUUGUACUAAGUUCAAGUAAGAAUUUUCUACUAAGUUAUGUAAGCCACUUUUGAAUAUUAAUAUAAAACAUAGUUAUAUUAGUUUAAUAAAAGUAUUAUGAGGAUAAUAGCCUUGUAAUUCCCAAGAGGGAGUUACGGCGGUAAUGUCCCAACCAAAUUAGGGUAAUUCCGCUGCUUAAUUACUUGAGUUAGAGGUCGGGGCGUUACACCAACACUCUUCCUUUAUGGAAUAUUGUUUUGGCCCAUUCGAAGUUUAUUCUAAUUAAAUUGUGAGUCAAGAGUCGAGUCAAGUGUCGAGUCUUGUAUUCAUGAUUUGUUUGAUAUUAUUAAAUGGCUUUUGCACGUUG